CUUUAGUGGCGAACGGGUGCGUAAUACGUGAGAAUCUGCCCUUAGGAGAAGAAUAACUGCUGGAAACGGCUGCUAAAUCUUCAUAUGUCGAGAGAUGAAAUAGCUUAGGCUGCCUAAGGAUGAGCUCACGCCUGAUUAGCUAGUUGGUGAGGUAAUGGCUCACCAAGGCCACGAUCAGUAGCUGGUUUGAGAGAACGAUCAGCCACACUGGGACUGAGACACGGCCCAGACUCCUCCGGGAGGCAGCAGUGAGGAAUUUUCCGCAAUGGGCGAAAGCCUGACGGAGCAAUACCGCGUGAGGGAUGAAGGAUUUUGGUCUGUAAACCUCUUUUCUCAAGAAAGGAGUUCUGACGGUACUUGAGAAAUAAGCAUCGGCUAACUCCGUGCCAGCAGCCGCGGUAAUACGGGGGAUGCAAGCGUUAUCCGGAAUCAUUGGGCGUAAAGCGCCUGUAGUUUGUUUAAUAAGUCUGUUGUUAAAGACUAGGGCUUAACCCUAGAAAAGCAAUGGAAACUACUAGACUA
rnacentral:rRNA from 1 species